CCUACGGGAGGCAGCAGUGAGGAAUAUUGGUCAAUGGGCGAGAGCCUGAACCAGCCAAGUCGCGUGAAGGAUGACGGCCCUACGGGUUGUAAACUUCUUUUGUCAGGGAGCACUUGGGUCCACGCGUGGGCUUAGCGAGAGUACCUGAAGAAAAAGCAUCGGCUAACUCCGUGCCAGCAGCCGCGCUAAUACGGAGGAUGCGCGCGUUAUGCGAAUUGAUUGGGGUUAAAGGGUCCGUAGGCGGAAUAUCAAGUCAGCGGUAAAAAUUCGGGGCUAAACCCCGUCGUGCCGUUGAAACUGAUGUUCUUGAGUGGGCGAGAAGUAUGCGGAAUGCGUGGUGUAGCGGUGAAAGGCAGAGAUAUCACGAAGAACUCCGAUUGCGAAGGCAGCAUACCGGCGCCCAACUGACGCUGAAGCACGAAAGCGAGGGUAUCGAACAGGAUUAGAUACCCGAGUAGUC
rnacentral:rRNA from 1 species